UACGAAGGGGGCUAGCGUUGCUCGGAAUCACUGGGCGUAAAGCGCACGUAGGCGGCUUCUUAAGUCAGGGGUGAAAUCCUGGAGCUCAACUCCAGAACUGCCCUUGAUACUGAGGAGCUCGAGUCCGGAAGAGGUGAGUGGAACUGCGAGUGUAGAGGUGAAAUUCGUAGAUAUUCGCAAGAACACCAGUGGCGAAGGCGGCUCACUGGUCCGGUACUGACGCUGAGGUGCGAAAGCGUGGGGAGCAAACAGG
rnacentral:rRNA from 1 species